AAUUUUGGACAAUGGGGGGAACCCUGAUCCAGCCAUCCCGCGUGUGCGACGAAGGNCUNNGGGUUNUNAAGCACUUUUGGCGGNNNNNAAAUCGCAUAGGAUAAUACCCUGUGUGGAUGACGGUACCUGCAGAAUAAGCACCGGCUAACUACGUGCCAGCAGCCGCGGUAAUACGUAGGGUGCAAGCGUUAAUCGGAAUUACUGGGCGUAAAGAGUGCGCAGGCGGUUCGGAAAGAAAGAUGUGAAAUCCCAGGGCUUAACCUUGGAACUGCAUUUUUAACUGCCGAGCUAGAGUACGUCAGAGGGGGGUAGAAUUCCACGUGUAGCAGUGAAAUGCGUAGAUAUGUGGAGGAAUACCGAUGGCGAAGGCAGCCCCCUGGGAUAAUACUGACGCUCAGACACGAAAGCGUGGGGAGCAAACAG
rnacentral:rRNA from 1 species